rnacentral:rRNA from 1 species
GCCAGCAGCUAUAUCACCCUGCAGCUCUCAAUUGGUUACCCACUGAAGCUAAGCAGGGCUGAGCCUGGUUAGUACCUGGUUGGAGACCUGGGUAAAGCUAUGGUUGCUGCUGGAA